rnacentral:rRNA from 1 species
UACGUAGGGUGCAGGCGUUAAUCGGAAUUACUGGGCGUAAAGCGUGCGCAGGCGGUUUGCUAAGACAGGUGUGAAAUCCCCGGGCUUAACCUGGGAACUGCGCUUGUAACUGGCAAGCUAGAGUGUGGCAGAGGGGGGUGGGAAUUCCACGUGUAGCAGUGAAAUGCGUAGAGAUGUGGAGGAACACCGAUGGCGAAGGCAGCCCCCUGGGCUAACACUGACGCUCAUGCACGAAAGCGUGGGAGCGA